CGAUGUGAGGGCGAUCUGGCUGUGACAUCUGUCACCCCAUUGAUCGCCGGGUUGAUUGAGCUGAUCUGGCUGGCUAAGCGGGUGUCCCCUUACUCCCCCAUUGCUCCAUGUGCGUCCCUCUCAAAGCUGUGCACUCUAAAUAAAUGGCGCUGGGAAAAUUGCCUACCCACACACAUGACACCGAAGCCAGACCCACGUUUCUUGUCACGUACUGGACUAAGUCCAAAAUACAUCAACCAUCUAGAUAUUAAAAUGGAAAGUCUUAAUCUUCU
rnacentral:snRNA from 1 species